CGUACAUAUUACUUACACUAGAAGGAGAACCUUUUUCUCGUCUGCAACCUCAAACUAUUGAAACCCCUCCCCCAAUACAGUACAACCAUUUUCACUCCUUCAAGCUCAAUUCCACAGAGUAAUUUCAAGCAAUAAUUAUAAUAGUUUGAGAAAAAGGUUCCGACUAGGAACGAACGUGACACUAGGGUACGAAGUGAAUAAAGAAAUAUAUCAGAGAGUAGAAGCUCAUGGAGGCCGAGAGAUGAUGAAAGUCGAGAAUUUGAGACAAAGUUGGUGAAUUUUGAAGAGAAGAUUAGAGAUUGAGCUUGAAUUUAUUAUGCUAAAUUUAAUUUAGCCCAAAACUCUUAUUUAAUUAAUUUUUGAGGCUUUGUUUCAGACGAAGGGCUGAAAGCCCAUAGUUUGAUUAGGCGGGCACUUUAGGGAUGUUUAAUCCCAUAUAUAUAUAUAUAUAUAUAUAUAUAUAUAUAUAUAUAUAUUGUUUCCUAGAGGCUAGCCGCCACUUUUCCAUAUUCCGAGACAUUAGAUUUGAAUUUAGUUGGAGUUCUUAGUCUUUAGUUUUGGGGGAGUGCAGAAUUCGCAACUUUUAGUUAGAAUUGGUGGAGUUAACUUUUGCAUAUCAUCAACUUGUGGCAGACGUGCUUUUUCCUUCUAUUGGUGUUG